GCUCUUUAACCGAGUGAGUGGCGGACGGGUGAGUAACACGUGGGUAACCUGCCCAUUAGAGGGGGAUAACAUUCGGAAACGGAUGCUAAUACCGCAUAGUUUCAGGGAUCGCAUGAUUCUUGAAGGAAAGGUGGCUUCGGCUACCACUAAUGGAUGGACCCGCGGCGUAUUAGCUAGUUGGUGAGGUAAUGGCUCACCAAGGCAAUGAUACGUAGCCGACCUGAGAGGGUGAUCGGCCACACUGGGACUGAGACACGGCCCAGACUCCUACGGGAGGCAGCAGUAGGGAAUCUUCCGCAAUGGACGAAAGUCUGACGGAGCAACGCCGCGUGAGUGAAGAAGGUUUUCGGAUCGUAAAACUCUGUUGUUAAAGAAGAACAAGGAUGAGAGUAACUGCUCAUCCCCUGACGGUAUUUAACCAGAAAGCCACGGCUAACUACGUGCCAGCAGCCGCGGUAAUACGUAGGUGGCAAGCGUUGUCCGGAUUUAUUGGGCGUAAAGCGAGCGCAGGCGGUUCUUUAAGUCUGAUGUGAAAGCCCCCGGCUCAACCGGGGAGGGUCAUUGGAAACUGGAGAACUUGAGUGCAGAAGAGGAGAGUGGAAUUCCACGUGUAGCGGUGAAAUGCGUAGAUAUGUGGAGGAACACCAGUGGCGAAGGCGACUCUCUGGUCUGUAACUGACGCUGAGGCUC
rnacentral:rRNA from 1 species